UGGAAAUGAAUGAGUUGCCGUCUUUUUGCUAAUCAACCUAACUUAAACAUGUUUCAACAAAGGGAAAGGCUUAAGAAAAGGAAAUACUUAGAAAAGAAAAUAAGGAUUUCAGAAUAGGACGAAGAUUUAAUACAUCCAUUAUAAAAUUCCAGAAUAAGCGGUGCAAAAGUUUGAAAACGGAUGAAUUCAAAGGAAUCUCAUUUUUUCCAUUUUGGAAAAACAACUUUUCCAAUAAUGAAAUGUAACCAUUCAGUGCAUGUUGUUUAAUAAUAAA